UCCUGGUAGCUCAAAAGGUAAAGAGUCUGCCUGCAAUGCGGGAGACCCAGGUUCCAUCCCUGGGUCAGGAG
rnacentral:tRNA from 1 species